UUGACCUCGAAUCGGGUAGGGAUACCCGCUGAACUUAAGCAUAUCA
rnacentral:rRNA from 1 species